GAUUAACGCUGGCGGCGUGCAUAACACAUGCAAGUCGAAUGAUGAAACGUAGUAGACUUCUUUGGAAAGAUACUAAGCGGAUUAGUGGCGAACGGGUGAGUAACGCGUGAGUAACCUGCCUUACACAAGGGGAUAGCCUUUGGAAACGAAGAAUAAUACCCUAUAAAACCAUAAAAGCACAUGCUAGAAUGGUCAAAGUGCUAGCGUUGUAAGAUGGACUUGCGUCUGAUUAGCUAGAUGGUGAGAUCAAAGCUCACCAAGGCAACGAUCAGUAGCCGGCUUGAGAGAGUGGACGGCCACAUUGGAACUGAGACACGGGCCAGACUACUACGGGAUGCAGCAGUGGGGAAUUUUUCACAAUGCAGGGAACCGUGAUGCAGCGAGGCCUCGUGAUUUAGAAGGCCUUCGGGUUGUAAAAAUCUUUUGUAUAGUAAGAAAAUGACAGUACUAUACGAAUAAGGUCCGGCUAAUUACGUG
rnacentral:rRNA from 1 species